CCUUGUCCCCCACUGCGGUUCCGGAGCCCCUUAACUCCCACCAUUCCGCCAGCCCACCAGGAGUCCCCAUUCCCAGGCCAAGCUCACUUUUCGGGGCGGCGGCUGCAUCUCCGAUCCGGCCAAGGCGAGCGACUCGACUCCGGAACUCGAGGAAGCCCCGCCCACGCCAAAGCCCCGCCCCGGACCUGGCUCAGCUCCGCCCCCGUCCCGCCCACGCCUCGUCCGACUUCGCGCAGGGCUGCGAAGCGCGAAGGUGCCGAGAAGAAACCGGAUCAACUUCUGUUACUACUGCUAAAACUCCGGAAAGGGUCGGAGCCGCCGAGUGGACGCCGCGUCUGCUGCGCGAUCUCCGGUGAUGGCGCGAAGGGUGACCUGUGGCAAGGAGGAACUCAGUUUGUGACCAGGGAAACUGAGUCACUGGAUGCCUGAGCAAAGAUGAUUUUGACAAGGGAAACAGGACUGUUCUCAGACCUUUCCCAAAUUCCCAGAGAACUGGAAAAGCCAGCGUGAGUGGUGAGAAAAUUGCCUGGAGCCAGGAAGAAACCAGUCCCAGAGGAAAACAGAACUGAAGUACUCGCCACCAUUGUGUAAUGAAGAAUCCUCAUGGUGGAAUAAGUGGAGUAAAUCCUAAACCAAACCCCUCUCCCCAAAGCACUCCCCUCCUUGGUUUCCCCCUUUCUCUGAAAGCUGACGGCCAAUGUCCAGCAGCAGAAGGCCACCCUCCUGUCUUGAUAUCCCCUCCUGGCCCACUCAGGAGUCUAAGGUCAGGACAAGUUACCUGUACAUCCUUCCAGGUGGUGAUAAGACUGACUUCCAAGUCAAUCUGAGCUACCUGGUCAGAGUCAAUCUGUGGAAGAGUCAAAAAGAAGUGUGUAUUGUGGAGGUGGGUGUUGGUGCUAGGAAAUGAGGGAAGAAGGGAGAGAUGUACAAGACCAGAGGGUCUAUAUGAGAGCAUUAGAGGCCAGAAGAGCUAAGAACUAAUGGGGCAUGGGCAUUUGGAGUGACGUUAUGGGAUAGAGGGGCCCAGGGCUCUGGAAGGUGAUUCCCGACGCAGAGGGCUUUCAGAGGUCUGGGCUGGGGUCCUGUUGAGGAGAGCAAGAUCUAGAAUCCAGGAAGAGGGACUAUAGUCAGGGGUUGAGAGAGCUUACAUUAAAGACAGAGAUGUAGCCAUCGAUGAGUUCCUGCAGCACCCGCACCUCAUGUUCCCCCCGCCCAUCUGUCUGGAACACACUAGGUGCAAACAGCAGGGCCAGGUUCCGCGUGCACAUUUGGUUUAUAGCAGCACACUUUUGCACCCUGCAGAAGGGCGUGACAUGGGUCACAAAGGAUGCAGCUUGCGCUCACCUGUUGGUCAAUGCAUCCAUUCAUUCAGCAAACACUUAUUGAGUUCCUACAGUAUGCCAGGCCCUGGGCUAAGCAUUUGGGAUACAGCUGUAAGACACAAUACUGGCCUCAAGGAGCUCCCAGUCUAGGGGAGAGACAGAUAAGGAUGGGUGAUUAUAAAUAUUGUAGGAGGCAGCACACUUUUAUGUAAAGGGACAGACAGUAAAUAUUUUAGGCUUGUAGGCCAUACGUUCCCUGUUGCAAUUCCUCAGUUCUACUGUUGUAGUAUGAGAAGAGUUAUAGACAAUAUAAAAGUGAAUGGGUGUGGCUUUACACUUCGUGGACAAAACUUCAUCUAGAAAUACAGGCAACAGGUUGGAUUCGGCUCAUGGGCCAUAGUUGGCCCAUCCCUGUGAUAUAGAGUAAUCAGUACAAUACAGCCAGUGUUCACCUUAGAAUCGUUUAAAGUCCUGUCUCCCCAAGAGACUGGUCAAGAUAGAUCUGCAACUUACUCUUCUUUGUGUCUCCUACAUCUAACCCUUUGUCAUAGAAUAAUAAAACAAAAUAAUAUUGAUUGCUUA